AACGUAGGACGCAAGCGUUAUCCGGAAUUACUGGGCGUAAAGCGCGUGUAGGUGGUUUGAUAAGUCACUGUUGAAAGCUCCCGGCUAAACUGGGAGAGGUGCGGUGAGACUGUCAGGCUAGAGUAUGGGAGAGGGAUGCAGAAUUCCGGGUGUAGUGGUGAAAUGCGUAGAGAUCCGGAGGAAUACCAGAGGCGAAGGCGGCAUCCUGGCCUAAAACUGACACUGAGACGCGAAAGCAUGGGGAGCGAACGGG
rnacentral:rRNA from 1 species